rnacentral:rRNA from 1 species
CCUACGGGUGGCAGCAGUGAGGAAUAUUGGUCAAUGGGCGCGAGCCUGAACCAGCCACGUCGCGUGCGGGAUGAAGGUUCUAUGGAUCGUAAACCUCUUUUAUAAGGGAAUAAAGUGUGGGACGUGUCCUAUUUUGUAUGUACCUUAUGAAUAAUGAUCGGCUAACUCCGUGCCAGCAGCCGCGGUAAUACGGAGGAUCCGAGCGUUAUCCGGAUUUAUUGGGUUUAAAGGGUGCGUAGGCGGCCUUUUAAGUCAGCGGUGAAAGUCUGUGGCUCAACCAUAGAAUUGCCGUUGAAACUGGGGGGCUGGAGUAUGUUUGAGGCAGGCGGAAUGCGUGGUGUAGCGGUGAAAUGCUUAGAGAUCACGCAGAACACCGAUUGCGAAGGCAGCUUGCCAAGCCAUGACUGACGCUGAUGCACGAAAGCGUGGGGAGCAAACAGGAUUAGAUACCCUGGUAGUC